rnacentral:rRNA from 1 species
GCGGUGGAUGAUGUGGAUUAAUCGAUGCAACGCGAAAACCUUACCUACCCUUGACAUGUCCGGAAUCCUGCAGAGAUGCGGGAGUGCCCGAAAGGGAAUCGGAACACAGGCGCUGCAUGGCUGUCGUCAGCUCGUGUCGUGAGAUGUUGGGUUAAGUCCCGCAACGAGCGCAACCCUUAUCAUUAGUUGCUACGCAAGGGCACUCUAAUGAGACUGCCGGUGACAAACCGAAGGAAGUGGGGAUGACGUCAAGUCCUCAUGGCCCUUAUGGGUAGGGCUUCACACGUCAUACAAUGGUCGGUACAGAGGGUUGCCAAGCCGCGAGGUGGAGCCAAUCCCAGAAAGCCGAUCGUAGUCCGGAUUGUUCUCUGCAACUCGAGAGCAUGAAGUCGGAAUCGCUAGUAAUCGCGGAUCAGCAUGUCGCGGUGAAUACGUUCCCGGGCCUU